rnacentral:lncRNA from 1 species
CAGUGAUGGAAUCUCCUUCUCCAUAUUUUUCUAUUGAAAAGAAGUUCGAAGGAAAAAAGAUAAAAUGAGCAUGACUUAUUUAUUUAUAUUCAAUUUAUCUUGACAUGUUAUUUUUUUUUCCAUGGAUUAAUCUUGAAUUAUUAGUUAUUUAAAUAUUGACCAUGAGGUUGAAAAAGUUUAUUAGUUGAUUUUGUUAUUCAUACAACUCUAAGCUUGGUUGGAUAGCAACC